rnacentral:lncRNA from 1 species
AUUUCAGGAUUGGAUUUCUCGAUAAUUUCAGUGACUGAGAGAAUACAUUAAAUCAGCAGGGUAAAAUCCCCAUCAUGAAGAGGCUUUCCCAUGAUAAAAUGCAUCCUGUGAUCUCCUAGCACAGCUGAAGAAUCACCAUCCCAGUUUGUUGGCUUCACAUGGCCAGUUCCUGCUCUCAGUCUCCUGGGAUGUGACAGUGUACUUCUGGCAACGCAAAGCUGGUGGCAGCACAACAAGCAAGCUUCCCAGAAGAUUAAAGGAGAAGACAUUUACAUAUGAUGUACUCAACAUUUCUUCUACAUUACCAGAUGUUUAAGAAUGCCAAACAUUGUAUGUCCCAUGUUUAAUAUUUAUACUCUGCCUCUUUCCUAAUAAUAGAACAAAUAUAUUAUAGGGACAUUAAACUGAAGAUAGAUGAGAACAUUAUAU